GACAGAGGUGGCAAGCGUUGUUCGGAAUUACUGGGCUUAAAGGGCGCGUAGGCGGUGAGUAAGUCUGGGGUGGAAUCUUACGGCUUAACUGUAGGACUGCCCUGGAAACUACUUUACUUGAGUCGGACAGGGGAAGGCGGAAUUCCUGGUGUAGCGGUGAAAUGCGUAGAUAUCAGGAGGAAGGCCUGUGGCGAAGGCGGCCUUCUGGGUCUUGACUGACGCUGAGGCGCGAAAGCGUGGGGAGCAAACA
rnacentral:rRNA from 1 species